AAUCAACGCUGGCGGCGUGCCUAACACAUGCAAGUCGAACGCGAAAGUCCCGCAAGGGAUCAGUAGAGUGGCAAACGGGUGAGUAACACGUGGGUGACCUGCCUUCGAGCGGGGGAUAACGUCCCGAAAGGGACGCUAAUACCGCAUAACAUCCUGCCUUUGAAGAGGUGGAGAUCAAAGCUGGGGAUCGCAAGACCCGGCACUUGAAGAGGGGCCCGCGCCUGAUUAGCAGUUGGUGAGGUAACGGCUCACCAAGGCAACGAUCAGUAUCCGGCCUGAGAGGGCGGACGGACACACUGGGACUGAGACACGGCCCAGACUCCUACGGGAGCAGCAGUGGGGAAUUGUUCGCAAUGGGCGCAAGCCUGACGACGCAACGCCGCGUGGAGAUGAAGAUUUUCGGAUCGUAAACUCCUGUCGAAU
rnacentral:rRNA from 1 species